rnacentral:rRNA from 1 species
CCUACGGGCGGCAGCAGUGAGGAAUAUUAGUCAAUGGACGAGAGUCUGAACCAGCCAAGUAGCGUGAAGGAUGACUGCCCUAUGGGUUGUAAACUUCUUUUAUAAAGGAAUAAAACGAGGCACGUGUGCCUUUUUGCAUGUACUUUAUGAAUAAGGAUCGGCUAACUCCGUGCCAGCAGCCGCGGUAAUACGGAGGAUCCGAGCGUUAUCCGGAUUUAUUGGGUUUAAAGGGAGCGUAGAUGGGUUGUUAAGUCAGUUGUGAAAGUUUGCGGCUCAACCGUAAAAUUGCAAUUGAUACUGGCAGUCGUGAGUACAGUUGAGGUAGGCGGAAUUCGUGGUGUAGCGGUGAAAUGCUUAGAUAUCACGAAGAACCCCGAUUGCGAAGGCAGCUUACUAAACUGUGACUGACAUUGAUGCUCGAAAGUGUGGGUAUCAAACAGGAUUAGAUACCCCAGUAGUC